rnacentral:rRNA from 1 species
GAUGAACGCUGGCGGCGUGCCUAAUACAUGCAAGUCGAGCGAACAGACGAGGAGCUUGCUCCUCUGACGUUAGCGGCGGACGGGUGAGUAACACGUGGAUAACCUACCUAUAAGACUGGGAUGACUUCGGGAAACCGGAGCUAAUACCGGAUAAUAUAUUGAACCGCAUGGUUCAAUAGUGAAAGACGGUUUUGCUGUCACUUAUAGAUGGAUCCGCGUCGCAUUAGCUAGUUGGUAAGGUAACGGCUUACCAAGGCGACGAUGCGUAGCCGAGCUGAGAGGGUGAUCAGCCACACUGGAACUGAGACACGGUCCAGACUCCUACGGGAGGCAGCAGUAGGGAAUCUUGCGCAAUGGGCGAAAGCUUGACCCAGCCAUACCGCGUGAGUGAAGAAGGCCUUCGGAUCGUAAAGCUCUGUUAUUGGGAAAGAAAAACUGUGGAAGUAACUAUGCCCGUCUUGACGGUACCUAAUCAGAAAGCCCCGGCUAACUACGUG